rnacentral:rRNA from 1 species
AACGAACGCUGGCGGCAUGCCUAACACAUGCAAGUCGAACGAGACCUUCUGGUCUAGUGGCGCACGGGUGCGUAACGCGUGGGAACCUGCCCUUAGGUUCGGAAUAACUCCCCGAAAGGGGUGCUAAUACCGGAUAAUGUCUUCGGACCAAAGAUUUAUCGCCUUUGGAUGGGCCCGCGUUGGAUUAGCUAGUUGGUAGGGUAAAAGCCUACCAAGGCGACGAUCCAUAGCUGGUCUGAGAGGAUGAUCAGCCACACUGGGACUGAGACACGGCCCAGACUCCUACGGGAGGCAGCAGUGGGGAAUAUUGGACAAUGGGCGAAAGCCUGAUCCAGCAAUGCCGCGUGAGUGAUGAAGGCGUUAGGGUUGUAAAGAUCUGUUAACCGGGAUGAUAAUGACAGUACCGGGAGAAUAAGCUCCGGCUAACUCCGUG